CAACUUUUCCUCUGGACAGGUUUUGAUGAAUCUCCCCCUAUGAGUGGUCGACAAGGACCACUCACAACUGUUACGGACGUCUUCGAUAAAAAGGGAGAAAUCUUCGGUUGCUGCGACACUCCUCUCUGAACAGUGACAUGCAUUAGAGACUGGCUUGAAGAAGCAACGUGAAAGCGUGAAACAGCCUGUCCCAGUCACGUCCCCCACCUCCACCACUGCACCUGUUCGUCACGACUGGAAUGCUUCAAUAAAGCUCAGUUGAAUGGUUGUGAAUGCAAAACACACUGAAGAGACUGCAGUCGGCGCGCACCUCCUUGUACAGCUUACGAUGACAUCAUCACAAGCAUGUGUGACAUCACAGGGUUCUAAACCCUCUUCAGGGAUAUUGAAAAGUUUCUGUCUGGUUCUCCCAAAGAUUAAAGCUGAUUCUUGCAGUUCCCAGCAUCCUGCAAUCACAGUAUAACUGGAGGACCCUUCUCAUAUACAAAUAUCGAUAACAAUAAUGACAAGCAUAAACCCAGAAGGUUUAACAAAUAUAACAAACUGCUCGGAGAUAGGACACGCAGGUCCACAAGGAAAAAAAACAUGGGAAGGUGCCAACACACAAUAGCACGGGCAUUGGAAGACUAUAUCUGCUUGAAGAUAGGACAUGCAGGCCCACAAGAAAAAAAUAACAUAAAAGGUGCCAACACAAUAACACGGACAUUGGAGAACCAUAUAUUGUCAAUAGUAUAGCUAAUGAGAGGACAUUAGUAGGAAAAGAAAACAAAUGGGAAAAAGAAGAGAAGACAGGAGAAGAGGGAAAAGCAAAGAAAAGAGGGCAAAAGUCAAAAGAGGGAACCAAGCGACAACACAAAGAAGACGAAGAGACGGGGAACAAACCAGACCAGAUCUGGGCAUGGAUAUGUUGGCAGGCGAUUUUAUGUUGCUGCAGACAGAUCCAUGCCACAGAGACAAAAAAAAGUGAUGUAAAUGCUCUCUAAUGGGAAUAAUGGGCUAUGUGACGAAACAGAGUACAGUAUGUGUCCAUUUGCACCUGCAUCUCUCCAGCACUAUGGAUUAUGAGACCGUUCUGUUACUGUAUAACUUUAAUAUUGCAUCUUCAGCUAACAGUGGAAAAUAACAAUGGUUGUCCCCCUGACACAGCACUUAGACAACCUGAACUCCUCGAUUGCUGGUUGACAUUUUACUGAUGCUUUAUUUCUUUUCCUAGUAAUGAUCCCUAUAGUCAGACAAGCUGCGUUCCUGCGAGUGUCAGUAAUAAAAGCCAUGUAUGCAGCUGUAGGGUUCACAUAGUUCCUCCUCCCUGCAGUGUGUUUUAGAGUGGAGGAUACUUGAAGGAUUGUUUAUUAUAGUAAUAAAGUACAGACCUGCGCUGCGAUAAAUCACCUUGACAGCCUCAGGAGGUGAGCAAGGACUUAUCAUGAGUUUCAUAAUGUCUCGCUUCUUCUAUACGUGCUGAGAAAAAAGUGUUUAGGACUUGCGGCAUCUUAAAUCUGUAAACAAGAAGAGUGCUCAGGUGGGGCUGACAUGUCCAGGCACAUGGGGCAUCCCUUACAAAGUAUCCUCCAUUAAUAAGAAAUAAAAGUCAUUCAACAUAUUUCUUCACUCAAAAUGUAAAAAAUUCUUAUUCAACUGUUCCUUGUCAAUCUGUUUUUUGGGAAAGUAGUUAAAUAUUGAUUUGAAGGGAUGUUGGAAGAAGCGGCUGACAUGUUGGGUAGUACAGUUGGCAAGACCUCCAUUGGAUAACCAAGUCCCCUUCAGCCCAGACUGCACAGCUCCAUAGAUAUAAUAGGACCCAUUGGGCCAUCCAACAUUCCUGCCAGGCCUCCUGUCAUCACUUUAAACAUCUAGGAAGAGAAUAUGAAAUGGUAGCAAAGCAAGUAUCUGAUCGGACUGUAGCUUCUGUUCAAUCCAUAACAUUGUUAGUGUCUAGUGUAGGCCCACUAUCCUGUAAUGACCACCAUGUCCCUUCACCACCCACCAACAAUUUAAUAUGGACUUUGUAUCCUUCCAUCCCAUAGAGUAGCAUGGUGCCCUGACUUUAUUUUACAUUUUGUUUUGUUGAGGUCUGGUGCUAAAAAAAAAGUUUAAAAAAUUCCACAACAAUCUACACUUAAUAUCCCAUAAUGAAAAUGUGAAAUCUUUGACAUUUUUGCAAAUGUAAUACAUUUUUGUUUUUUACAUGGACAUAAGCAUUCCAACACUCGAAUAAUGUUUCUACACCUUAAAUGGAGUACACUAGUGCUAAUUUCACUUGUUCGGACAUGAUUUGGAAACAAACAGCCCCGUCUAUAUAAGGUCUCACAGCUGACAAUGUAUAUCAGAGCAAAUACUACGCCAUGUGCAGGAAAUAACUUCCUGUAGAGCUCAGAGACUUGUGUGGAAGCACAGAGGAUUGUGUGAAGGUACAGAUCUGGAGAAGGGUACAAAACAUUUGUAGUGUUCUGAAAGUUCCCAAGAGCACAGUGGCCGCCGUAAUUCUUAAAUGGAACAACCAGGACUUUACCUAGAGCUGGCCGCCCCACCUAACUAAUUGAUUGAGGGAGAAGAUGACCAAGAACCCAAUGGCCAUUCUGGCUGAGCUUCAAAGAUCCUGUGUACACUCUACCAAUCUGGGCUUUAUGGCACAGUGGCCAGAAAGAUGCCUUUUCUCAGUAAAAGACACUGGAAAUUCUAUCUGGAGUUUGCAAAAAAACACACCUAAAGUAUUCUCAGACUGCGAGAAACAAGGUUCUUUUGUCUGAUGAAACCAAAAUUGAACUUUUGCUUCAAUUCUAAGCAUGUCUUAAGGAAAACAGGCACUUCUCAUGAUCUGCCCUAUACCAUCCCUACAGUGAGGCAUAAUGGUGGCAGUAUCAUUCUAUGGGGGUGUUUUUCAGUGGCUGGAGCAUGGAAUACUGGUAGGGUUUAGGAAAAGUUAAAUGUAGCAAUGUACAGAAAUAUUCUUAAUGAAAACCUGAUCCAUAAUGCUCUGGACCUCAGACUGGGCUGAAGGUUCACCUUCCAACAAGAAAAUGGCCCCAAUCACAUGGGCAAUAUAACACAGGAGCAGCUGAGGAACAACUCUGUGAAUGGCCUACAGUGACCCAGCCAGGUCUCUGACUUUAAACUCAAUCAAACAUCUCCAGAGAGACCUGGAAAUUGCUUUCAAAUCCCCAAAUGCAGAGGUGCAAACCUUGUGGAAUAAUACCCAAGUAGACUGUAAUCGCUGCCAAAGAGGCUUCAACUAAAUACUGUGUACUUAUGUCAGUGCAUUGUUUAAAGAGUACCUUUCAUCAAACUAAACUUUUAAUAUAUUGUUUGUUAUGUAAUUAUAAGACACUUUGCCAUUCACCUUCUGUUAAACUUCUCAACCUUAUUAUGUUUUUGAAUAUGAUUGAAAAAACGGCCACUAGGUGACUCUGUUCUGUUCCCUACGCAACUCAAACAUUUAGUUUGGUCUCCUACCGGGCCGG